CUCCGGGUUGAUCCCGCCGGACCCGACUGCUAUCAGAGUGGGACUAAGCCAUGCGAGUCAACAUAGCAAUAUGUGGCAUACGGCUCAGUAACACGUAGUCAACAUGCCCAGGGGACGUGGAUAACCUCGGGAAACUGAGGAUAAACCGCGAUAGGUCAUCACUUCUGGAAUGGGUAAUGACUUAAAUCUAUAUGGCCCCUGGAUUGGACUGCGGCCGAUCAGGCUGUUGGUGAGGUAAUGGCCCACCAAACCUGUAACCGGUACGGGCUCUGAGAGGAGGAGCCCGGAGAUGGGCACUGAGACAAGGGCCCAGGCCCUAUGGGGCGCAGCAGGCGCGAAACCUCUGCAAUAGGCGAAAGCUUGACAGGGUUACUCUGAGUGAUUUCCGUUAAGGAGAUCUUUUGGCACCUCUAAAAAUGGUGCAGAAUAAGGGGUGGGCAAGUCUGGUGUCAGCCGCCGCGGUAAUACCAGCACCCCGAGUGGUCGGGACGUUUAUUGGGCCUAAAGCAUCCGUAGCCGGUUCUACAAGUCUUCCGUUAAAUCCACCUGCUUAACAGAUGGGCUGCGGAAGAUACUAUAGAGCUAGGAGGCGGGAGAGGCAAGCGGUACUCGAUGGGUAGGGGUAAAAUCCGUUGAUCCAUUGAAGACCACCAGUGGCGAAGGCGGCUUGCCAGAACGCGCUCGACGGUGAGGGAUGAAAGCUGGGGGAGCAAACCGGAUUAGAUACCCGGGUAGUCCCAGCUGUAAACGAUGCAGACUCGGUGAUGAGUUGGCUUAUUGCUAACUCAGUGCCGCAGGGAAGCCGUUAAGUUUGCCGCCUGGGGAGUACGGUCGCAAGACUGAAACUUAAAGGAAUGGCCGGGGGAGCA
rnacentral:rRNA from 1 species